rnacentral:rRNA from 1 species
UCCCCGAGAGGGGGUGUGGCGGUUGACGGCGACGUUAGGAAGUCCGGAGACGCCGGCGGGGGCCUCGGGAAGAGUUAUCUUUUCUGCUUAACGGCCUGCCAACCCUGGAAUCGGUUCAGCCGGAGGUAGGGUCCAGUGGUCGGAAGAGCACCGCACGUCGCGCGGUGUCCGGUGCGCCCCCGGCGGCCCAUGAAAAUCCGGAGGACCGAGUACCGUCCACGCCCGGUCGUACUCAUAACCGCAUCAGGUCUCCAAGGU